CGUCCCAUUGGGCCCCACGGGGCCCACAUCCUACCCCACAGGGCUUCACAGCUUUGUCUCCACACACCUCCUCUCCUCUCCUCCACACACCUCCACACACCUCCUCUUCCAGAAAUGAUCUGGAAGGAUCAUUUCAUUGUGCUCAUCACCUUGGGAAAGGGCCAUGAUUCAUUGUAGCUGCUCUGAAAAUGGUGUUGGUUCUGGGAUGGAGUGAGGCGGCCUAAGGAUGCUGAAAGGUGGAGAGGCCUGCUCUCCUUUCUCAAUGUGAAUUUUGGAGCUCUUCCAAAAGAAUUUUAAAAAUUUGAGAAUUGAACACUGCCUGGAAGGAAAGAAAAAGAAAGAAAGAAAAAGAAAGAGAAAGGAAGGAAAGAAGGAAGGAAGAGGAAGAAAGUAGUUAAGACAAAGGUAUCACAGGUAAGCCGACUGAAAGAAAACACAAAAGGUUUUUUUUUAAACAUGACAGCGGCAACAAGACUUUUAUAUGCACAGAAUUGGAAAGAUACACAAAUUCUCACGCCUGAAGAGUGGAUCAUGAAACUAAUGGAACUGGCACAGAUGGGAAAAUUGACUACUUUGAUGAAAGACAAAAGUUUUUCUAGGUUUGUUUCUACUAGGAGAUCAUGUUGAAUGUCUUGGUAGAGUGAGAUGAAAAUGAAGUUUUGGUUUUAGAAUGUGAUGAUUAGAUUUGUUAUAACUAUAUAAAUAUUGGGCAUUUUUAUCAUUACUAGAUGUAUAUUUUUUAAUAUUUAUGUUUAAACAGAAGUUAUUUUUAUAUCUAACUUUUGUGUGUUUGUGAUUAUUUGGUCUGUAUGUUGUUUAUAUGCUUUUAUUUUAAUCUAGAGUAAGUGGUUAUUUUGUUAUAUAUUUUUAUCUGUACUGAAGUCAGAAGUCAAUUUUUUGUAUCUCUUUCCACCCUUUUUUCUUCUUUUUUCCCUUUAAUCCCUUUGCCUUUUUUUAACCUUUUUGUAUUUGUUAUUUUGUAUUUUAAUGGUGUUUGAAAUUUGAAAUUGAGUAAAGUUUGUUUUUAAAAAACCCAAAUAAAGCAUUGAACAAAUAGCAACAAUAUAAUCCAAUAGCAUCACAUCAAUUUCACCUCCAUACAAACAACACAACAGUUCUGUCAUAUCCCAGUGACAGUUGUGAAGGUCUGUGGGAAUCUGAGUUGUGAAAUUCAUCUAAGGUAGGAAUCCUUUAAAUAAGUGUUUCUCAACCUUAGAUACUCUAAGCAAUCUGGACUUCAAAUCCCAGAAUUCCCACACCAAUAUACUGGACUAGAGAAUUCUGGAAGCUGAGGUCCACGCAUCUUGCCAAAGUUGAGAAACACUGCUUUAAACAUUGCAAGAUUCUUUAUUACCUAUAUUAAUAUUAAUAGAUAGUAAGCAAAUAAUAGAGGUUGCCAUUUGUUAAAGUUAUUAAACUAAAAAUCGAUUAUAUAUCUCUGAUCAGUUUUAUUUGUAAUUGCAAACUCUACAAAACACCAGUAAAAGCACUAAAUGUUUUAUUCCACAUGACAGAAGACAUACAAGUGAAUAUUAGGACAGAAGAGAUGCUUGGACUACUUUCAAAUGCAGUUGGGUUGGAUGAAUAAUUCUGUUUCCUAUGAAUGCAUGUUGUUUCAUUUUAAAGUAAACAUUUCUGUCUCUCACGGGUGCAAAAUCAAACUAUGCAUGUAAUCCCCAAGGAAAUAUUACCAUGUUUCCCCAAAAAUAAGACCCUGUCUUAUAUUGUUUUGAACCCUGAAAUAAGCGCUUGGCCUUAUUGCCAUGCACUCAAAGGCCUGAUUGGGCUUAUUAUCAGGGGAUGUCUUAUUUUGGGGGAAACAGGGUAGAAAUUCGACAUGGAAUUAGAUUUUUAUUGGAUAGGAAGGGGAAAAUGAUUUUGUGCGCUUAUUUAAUUCCUUAUCUUUUGAUGCAACUAAUGGAAUCAGAAAAAAAUGAAGCAUUAGAUACACAUAUAUCUGCAUAAACCAAUGAAGAAUGUAGAACAGUAUAUUAUUUGUACAGUAGUAGUAGAAAACAUGCCUAAAAUAGAAUGUGAGUAAGAUGUGACACACAGGCCACCUAAUCCACUCCCUAUUGCUAGAGGGUCACCAAUUGAAAGCUAUCCAUUUGAACACAAAAGCAUCAAGUAAGAAAAACCUUUGAUUGUCAGCCAGAAUAGUCAAAAAUCUAUGAUAGAGGAAAGUGAAUUGACCCUGUUGUGAAAAUAUCUGGCCUUUUCCUUGAAAUGCUCAGUUGGUUAUUGAUUUAUUGUUAUUUUUUUAAAAAAAGAAUGUCUCAAAAGUCCUUUAACUUAAAUAAAUGUAAGUAAAGUUAUGAAGAUGCCAUUCAGCUUUAGUUGCUUUCUCAGAAACAAAUGAGCUUUGUCUUUUAAUCAUUUGGCCAACAGGGCCCCAAGCCAUUGGAAUAACAACUGAUGGCUGAUU